rnacentral:RNase_P_RNA from 1 species
GGAGUGAUCCGGGUGAUCGCUGCCCCGCCGCAGUCCCUCUGGGAUUUCGGUGGGGGAGAGGAAAGUCCGAACUCCAAAGGGCGGUGUGCUCGCUAACGGCGAGGAGUCGUUCCGGCGACGGGGCGGCUACGGAGAGUGCCACAGAAAAUAUACCGCCGAUGGCCCCUGCGGGGGCUCAGGUAAGGGUGAAAUGGUGCGGCCCUGCGGGGCUUAAUGUAAGAGCGCACCGCCUUCGCCGUGAGGCGGAGGGCAGGGAAAACCCCACACGGAGCAAGACCAAAUAGGGGAAGAGGAGCGGCCCGCUCCGCAACCCGGUCGCGUCUUUGACGCGACCGGGGGUGAACUCCCGGGUAGGUUGCUUGAACCCGCCAGCAAUGGCGGGUCUAGAGGAAUGAUCACCCUCCCGGGGGGCGCAAGCCCUUCGGGUGACAAAAUUCGGCUUACAGGAUCUCUCCUGCC